rnacentral:rRNA from 1 species
CGGAGGGUGAGUAAUGUCUGGGAAACGUGCCUGAUGGAGGGGGAUAACUACUGGAAACGGUAGCUAAUACCGCAUAACGUCGCAAGACCAAAGAGGGGGAACCUUCGGGCCUCUUGCCAUCGGAUGUGCCCAGAUGGGAUUAGCUAGUAGGUGGGGUAACGGCUCACCUAGGCGACGAUCCCUAGCUGGUCUGAGAGGAUGACCAGCCACACUGGAACUGAGACACGGUCCAG